AUAGAGAAAGUAUACAUGAUACAUUUGAUGAUUUAGGCUUAAAUGAACACUCAUUAAAAAUUGAAAUAGAAGAUGAAAAAAAACUUAUGCCAUAUGUAGAAGAACAAACACACGAAGAAGAAUCAGCUGAGAGAAGUGGCGUACAAAAAAACUAGGAAGGGAAUGGAAUAUGUGGCUACGAAAGGCAAAAGAAAUGAUUACAAAGCAAAUGUGACACAUUUUUUUAAAAAUAUGUAGGAAUAUCAGUAAACUACAUUAAAAAUGUAUGAAAAGAUUUUGUGCAAUAAAACUGUUUAUAUUUA
rnacentral:lncRNA from 1 species